CAAGGACAAGUGUUGGGGUCUCCAACUUACAAGCUGGUCCUAAAACUUGGGAUUCAUCAGGUCUUACUAGGCUACAAGUUUGGGAUUUCUAGAUUCCAUGUGGACACAGGGAAAACCAGAAGUCUGAGGCUCAGAGACAUGAUGCUGACUGGGACUGUGCUGCCUGACAGGAGGGGAAAUUACACACAUGCUCAGGCCAUCAAAACUGGCCUGAAGAAAUCAUAGAAAUAAUCACCGAUUUCUUUGAUGAGAAUGACAAUGAGGAGUCAGCAAAUCAAAAUCCCAUAUCAACAAAAUAGAAGAAAAGGAGAUCCAGGAAUUGGGAAUGCAACUAAAAAACAAAACAAAACAAAACUAGAAAAGGAACAACUUAAAAAUCCAUAGAUAAAGAUGAAAUUGGAAGUCAUAAAAAUUAAAGAAGACAUUUUUUAAAAAUUGACA